UGGUCCUUGCCUAGUCCGGGCAUCUUGACCCCACAACUUCUCCACACGGGGACCACACUCCUUCUUCCACUUUACCCACUGCCCAGGACAGGGGCUCUUGAUGUUCUUUUGGGUCUUGUGAUCAGCUCCAAAAAGUUCUCAAAGCCAUACAAUGAGAUCAGAGGUAGAAAGCACUCCUCCAAGGGAGGUGUGUCCUGAAAUGGAGAGAGGAAAUGAAGAUGCCCAGUGUCUCUUGCUAAGAUGUCCCAGAAGUCACAACUGAACUUUUAAAGAGAAUCUCUUUGACUCUGGAGAAGAACACUGACCUCUCCCUUGAAUAAGAAUAGCUGCCUCCUCGGAUAGAGGACACCUGGAUGCCGUUCUUCCCACCAUGGACUUCCUGCCACAGUGCCCUUGGAAAAAGCUUUGAGACUCCUGCCACCACCACCCCACCCCUUGGUGUAAAUACCACUUAAGCAAUGUGAUUUCUUUUAGUGCUCUCAGGAGUUGCUCUCAACUGCCCACUGCUCCGGAGCCGCUGCGUAGAGGCAGCAGGCAGGAAAAUGCAGAGUGGGAAGGUAAGGAGUAGUGAGGAGGAAGGGAAAGGCCAAGCCCCAUCCUUAUUUUAAGCAGGUGCUUGUGAAGACACUGCAGAGAAGACAGGAAAAAAUAAAAAAGGACUCAGAGGAGAUUCUCAGCAUCUUGUAUCUUCCCAGAGAGAGCAUAUUUGAUGGUAUCAUGCUUCCAUGUCACCAACCUCAUUUCCUCUGACUCUCCUUCUGUCAUUUCCUCUGACCCUCUGUUCUGGCCCAUUUGAUCUGCUUGUUGUGUGAGCUGCCCAACCCAUCUCCUACAGCCCUGCCAGUCCCUGAUACCAUGAUCCUGCAUUAUGGCUCAAAGGCCAGACAAGCUGCAGUUCCCACAUGCCAAGGAGGGAGGCAGAGCCUACUUAGAAGGAGAUCUGUUCAUCAACCAGUAAAGGAGUGUUAAGCCAUCACCUGAAUUCAGGAAGGCGUUGUCAAGGAAUGCAUAAAGAAAAUAGUUGCAACUGCUUGCAAGCAGCAACCCACACCCACUAUUUUUGUCUUCCAGGACGCCUGCCCUGAUCCACUCUUCCUAACAAGUAACUCCAUCUCGGCAUUCAUGUUCUGUCCUAUAUUCACUUGCUCUUGGUAAUCUAUUACCUCUUACAUGUUAAGCCCUCUGAAAGAGGCUAUUUUCCUGUUUCUUUGAAACCCAGCCCCAGCCCCAUAGCUGGGGCACGUGCAGCAGGAUUCUACAGAGUGCUUCAUCAAGAGAAGGUGCUGGAUUCCUGGGGGAGACUGUGCUUGGUAGGGCUCUUUUGUUUCUGAGCAGCACCUUCUGUGUGGCUAUAUUCCUGGUUGCUGUCCAGAGCUUUCCUAACAAAGACAGCUUCCAAGGCCAGACAAACAGCAGAAAAUGCAGGUUAAAGCUGUACCACAGUACAAUGUACACUGCAAGGAAGGAUGCUUGUGGUUCAGCACUGCAUCUCCAGAAAGACAGCAGGGCUACAGAAGCACUGGGAUGCCUAGUUGAGCUGAUGAAACAUACGAGAACAUUAAAAAAAUGAUUAGGGUUCCUCAAAGUGAGAAGACACAUGUUGAGAGAAUGUGAAUGUAUAAAAAUCAUUAAGGGUAUGUAGAGACCUUACACUCACUUUAACCAACUGACCAAGAAAUGGGUUUUUGUUAUCUUCUAAGCAGAAAAGCACUGUAUUGGGCACUGCAGUAAAUCUAAAAGGAGAAAGAAUUCACUUCUGUCUUCAAAGAGCCUAUGAUUUAGAUGAGAAGACAUGACAAAGCCACAUCCUGUCAGUCAAUGACAAAAUGCCAUGUAAAACACAUGACUGCUGAGUGGAACAGGCAGCAGGUACUAGGGGGGUUCAAGGGAGAGAACCAGCUCUGAGCACUGAAGAGUCGGUAAACUCUUUCGGGUAGGAUCGGACCUUAAAGGAUGGGACUGCACAGGUGGGGAGAAAGGCAGACAUGUUCCAGCAUAGGGAAUGUCUAGGGUCACACUUUAGAAAUAGUGCAUAAGUGGUAGGGUAGGAGAAGGAACGAGGGUAGAAUUUUGGGACAGAAAGCCAUGCUGAGCUCAGUGGAGGUGCAAGUAGACAUUAGAGAAACACAGGGGAUGACGGGGAGAGCGAAGCCAGGAGAAGGUGCAAGCAGCUCAGAGGAAAAGCUGGAGAGAGCUGACUUGAAGGAUGGGCAAGGGGCACAGUCAGAACCCACCCACCUGCUGAGACAGAUCUGGGAUAGAUGAAUCAGGGGCUGGAUUCAAGGAAGGAGGGGAGGGAAGGAGGGACGGAACGAGAGGAACCUGAACAACAUGUAUAAAAAUCCUGUGAUGGCUGGGAUAAUGACAUGGGAAGAAAUGAUGAUGUAUGUGGAAGCUUGUGAAUGGACCAUGCUGAACUAGAGUCAGAAUGUUUGGAAGUGAUCAAAGGGGUCAGAAGGAGGAGAAAAAGGUUGAAGGCCCAGCCUUUACCAGAUAUGGUCAGUUGCAUGAAUUUUCGAUCCCUCCCUGCAUAAAAGAGAAGCAAAAUGCUUUGUGCCUGGUCCUGCCUUCACCUACCUGCCUCUAGUCCAACAUUUUCCUCUUGAUUUCGGGGUGAUAUCCAUUGGCAGAACUGCACAGAGGUACCCAGUGAGAGCUCUGCAGCCAGACUACCUGAGUUCAGAUUUGGCCUCUGCCAUUCAGGGACCUGGAGGUAGUUAUUUUAAGACUUUGUGCUUCAGUUUCUUCAAGCUGUAACAUGGGAGUAAUAAAGCUGAACAUCUCCCUCACAAGGUUUAAAUGAGUUAAUAUACAGCAAGCUCUUAGAACAACAUCUAGUACACAAUAAGAACUCAAUAACUGUUGGCUCUUUUUAUUGUGCUAAGCACAUGUAGUGAGAAUAGAAACGUAUGUUGAGUGUACCUAGGUCACAGAGUGACUGAGCAUUGUUGUUCUGUAAGGGAACACUGCAGGCCUUUGGCUGAUGUAUAGCUCAGCUUGUUUGCCUAGCCUUAGCAGGGGGUCAGGCCUGUAUGAUUUCUGGAACUACAUGAGAGCUUUCCUCUGAGAGAGGGCAGGGUGUUGUGAACUAGAGGUUGUGAAUCCUGGCCUGAUCGCCAGGCUAAGGGACUAGCCCUUUGGCAGAUGCUGCCUGUCCAGCUCCGGCCUGAGCACUGGCCACUUUCAGUAGCUGAAGGGAAAUGUGGAUUUGCGUCUCUAGUCUCAUUUCCACCACCUCCUACUUGCCUUAUACUACAGGGACUCUUUGAUCUGGGCCGAUUGAUCUCUGUGUUCCCUCAACAGACACUGAAGUUUCACGUCUCUGUGCCUUUGGACACACUGUGUGUGGUAGAGAUCUAUCUCCCUGGCUGCAUUCUCUCCUUUUUAUGUUUCUUUUAUUCCAUGUACCAGUAUGGUCAGCUGAAAGACUACGAUCCCCAGUCUCGUUUCUCACUGGCCACACUAGCGAGAUUUGGCAGAAAUUUCUUGGUGGGACUUUUAGGAAAGCAUUUGCUAUCUUUGCGCUUUCUUCCUGUGUUUUGGCUUCCUGACUGGAAGGACGAGGUGAAUGGCUGGAGAUCCAUAGACACUUUGGACCCUGAGAAUGGAAGCCGUGUGCUAAGAAAUGCUGAGCAGGAGAAUGAAGGGGCCUGGAUCCCUGCUGAUACCAAGUGCCACUGUAUUAGUUCUGAACUGCCCACCUCUGGGCUUCCUUUAUGAGAAAGAAGUAAACUUUAAUCUUGAUAAGCGAA